GGGGUCUUUGCCUUGGAAAUUGACAUGGGAGGAGCUCAGGCUUUAGAUCUCAGACUACUUCUCUUUGGACUGACAUGAUCUUCCAUCAAGGAACAAAGCAAGAUAUCAGAAGUUUUUCUGUAGCCUCUUAUUUUGUGCAGUCCUCAGAUGACCACUCUAAUCACCUGACUGACUUACUUUCAUUUUUGGUCACCAAUACGCGUUAUGAUCCAGAGUUUGAACAACUGUGUUUUCUGAGGAGGUAGAGCUCUGAAGCAUUUACAGAAGCCACUGACAGUCCAGUUUCCCCAUGAGUCACUUCCCUGGAUAAUCUUCCAUUACAGAGCAUGAAGAGCAGCAAAUUCUGAUCUUCAUUUUUUAGAGGGAAGAUCCCAUAGAGUAUUACAGUAUGACAUGGAAGGAAGAAUGAAAUGGCAUUAAAUAUAUGAGCAUGCACUCAUACAUCUGUACAUAAAAUAUAUAUGGAAAAGAAUUAUUCUUCGCUAUUGUUGAAACUUAGACUAAAUAGUAGAGGCAGGACAAGGCAUUGAUCC
rnacentral:lncRNA from 1 species